GUGUCCGUAGCACAGGGGUGAGAGCAUCCGCCCAUGAAGCGGAAGCGCGCCGGUUCGAGUCUGGUCGGGUGCAUCA
rnacentral:tRNA from 1 species